GACAACAAAACCAGCUCAUUUUAACUAAUACUUUAACUUAUUAAAAAUUAUGGUAUUUACGAUUUGUAAGUAAUAUUGCGAUUACUUCAGGAAUAUUGAGACUUUUUUUUCUUUCUAAGAGCCCAAGUAAUACAUUUAUCAUCACUCAAAGGAAUAUUGUACAUGGAGAGUUCUUGAUCUGUGGUAAAGGAGUUCAAUUUCCUAGUCUAUUUAAGAAGAAAAAAAACGGGAGUUCCCGUCAAUGAAAAUGUUCUGAAAAGAAAGGAGAGGAAGAAGAAGAACUUUAGAUAACAACCUGAAUAAAAGAAGACUCCCUUACCUGGAACUAGAAAGUCCUCCAUGCACUGGACAGAAGCUAAUUUCCACAUCAUCUCUUAGAUUUCUUCUCAUGCUGACCUCAAACUGAAAGCACUUCUUGCUUUUUGAACACGCCAAGUAUAAUCUUGCCUUGCAUCUUUGCAAUCAUUAUGUUCUGUUAUCUAGAAUACAUUUUCCCCAAAUUUCUUUCAGUUCCAUCCUCACCCCACCCAAACACAAUCACUUUCAUUAUCUUACCCUGAUUUAUUUGGAUUGUUAUAUUUUCAUUUCCUUAUAUUAUAGUCUAUGUUGUUUAUGUUAUAUUACUAAUUUGUUUCUUCUCUGUUCUCUUCAGCUGAAAUGUAAGCUCUAUAAGAACAAGAAUUUCAUUUGUUCUAUUCAAUGCUUAUAUUCUCAGGACCUCAAAAAGGUUUGGUUCAGAAUACAUGCUUCCUCAAUAUAUUGUUUAUAUAAGUAGGUGGUAGAUUAGAAUUCAGCCUCUGGCUUUGCCCAUCAAAGAGUUUUCAUCUUGAAUCCUGUCUUGUUCCUAUGUUUAUCCAUCUUAUUUUUCUAUUAAUUUGCAGCUGCUAGUUCUUCUUUUUUCUGCUAUUACACCUGGUUGGCUGACCUGAGUUACUAGACUUCAGACUUUAGAUUCUGGAAGCACCUCUAUGGUCUAUCCUUGGACAGCCUAAUAUCAUUUUCAUCUUUAUGGAGCUAAUGAGGUCAGCUGCUGUAUCUGUCCUACAACAGAUAAUGUCAAAUAAUUUCCAAGGGUCUUCUUUUAAAAAUUUUCUUUCUAAUAUUUAAUUCCUUUAUUCUAAUGUUUUGUUUAGAAUAUUUCAGUUUCUUUGG
rnacentral:lncRNA from 1 species